UACAGAGGUCCCGAGCGUUGUUCGGAUUCACUGGGCGUAAAGGGUGCGUAGGUGGCGAGGAAAGUCGGAUAUGAAAGCUCGGAGCUCAACUCCGAAAUGGCACUGGAAACUACCUUGCUAGAGGGAUGGAGGGGGGACUGGAAUUCUCGGUGUAGCAGUGAAAUGCGUAGAUAUCGAGAGGAACACCAGUGGCGAAGGCGGCUUUCUGGGCCUUACCUGACGCUGAGACGCGAAAGCGUGGGGAGCGAACCGG
rnacentral:rRNA from 1 species